rnacentral:rRNA from 1 species
UGGGGAAUAUUGCACAAUGGAGGGAACUCUGAUGCAGCAACGCCGCGUGCGGGAUGACGGCCUUCGGGUUGUAAACCGCUUUCAGCCAUGACGAAGCUUUUGUGACGGUAGUGGUAGAAGAAGCACCGGCUAACUACGUGCCAGCAGCCGCGGUGAUACGUAGGGUGCGAGCGUUGUCCGGAAUUAUUGGGCGUAAAGAGCUUGUAGGCGGUUUGUCGCGUCGAUAGUGUAAACACGCAGCUUAACUGUGUGCCUGCUGUCGAUACGGGCUGACUAGAGGAGGGUAGGGGAGAAUGGAAUUCCCGGUGGAGCGGUGGAAUGCGCAGAUAUCGGGAGGAACACCAGUGGCGAAGGCGGUUCUCUGGACCGUUCCUGACGCUGAGAAGCGAAAGCGUGGGUAGCAAACAGG